GGGGCUGAUAUAGCUUCGACGAGAGGAUUUUAACAGGAUAUUCAGCAAGUCGUUUUACACCCGUUAGGUGUUUAUUUAAUUGCAAACAAACUUGCAUCAGUAAAGGCAUUCUUCGCUAGCGCAUUCGCGCCUAAGCAAGCUGCCUUUGCGCUCGCUGCCUAAUUAUUUGGUAGCCAUCGAUCUUCCCAAGGAUACGUAGGGGAGACGGUGUUAUAUACUACGUGUCUUACUGAUCCCGCGGGCAGCUGCGAGGGGUCGGGACACUUUACAGCGGGACUUUCGCGGCUAUUUUCGCCUUACUUCUAGGCGGCACGAGUCCUAAAUUAUCCAAGUAAGGAUAUGCUUGUAGACGAAUAUCAGGUUACCUUUUGGACCCGGGGGCAGUACCCGGCAGCUCCACCA
rnacentral:tmRNA from 1 species